AGUGAACGCUGGCGGUAGGCCUAACACAUGCAAGUCGAACGGCAGCACAGUAAGAGCUUGCUCUUACGGGUGGAGAGUGGCGGAAGGGUGAGGAAUACAUCGGAAUCUACUUUUUCGUGGGGGAUAACGUAGGGAAACUUACGCUAAUACCGCAUACGACCUACGGGUGAAAGCAGGGGAUCUUCGGACCUUGCGCGAUUGAAUGAGCCGAUGUCGGAUUAGCUAGUUGGCGGGGUAAAGGCCCACCAAGGCGACGAUCCGUAGCUGGUCUGAGAGGAUGAUCAGCCACACUGGAACUGAGACACGGUCCAGACUCCUACGGGAGGCAGCAGUGGGGAAUAUUGGACAAUGGGCGCAAGCCUGAUCCAGCCAUACCGCGUGGGUGAAGAAGGCCUUCGGGUUGUAAAGCCCUUUUGUUGGGAAAGAAAAGCAUCAGGUUAAUACCCCGCUGUUCUGACGGUACCCAAAGAAUAAGCACCGGCUAACUUCGUG
rnacentral:rRNA from 1 species